GACCUUGUAGUGAAGUUCAUGGUGAGUUGCAAGCUCAUCGAUGUGCGUGAAUAGCGUGCCGGGGUCU
rnacentral:tRNA from 1 species